GUACUACUCCCUCCGUUGCAAAAUUCUGCAAAAUUCUUGUCUUAAAUUAGUCUAGAUAUGGAUGUAUCCAAUUCUAAAACAUGACUUGAUACAUCCGUAUUUAGACAAAUUUAAGACAAAAAUUUUAGGACGGAGGGAGUACCUC
rfam:Triticum aestivum genome assembly, contig: Triticum_aestivum_CS42_TGACv1_scaffold_606304_7DL